rnacentral:rRNA from 1 species
AACGGUAACAGGAGCAGCUUGCUGCUUCGCUGACGAGUGGCGGACGGGUGAGUAAUGUCUGGGAAACUGCCCGAUGGAGGGGGAUAACUACUGGAAACGGUAGCUAAUACCGCAUAAUGUCGCAAGACCAAAGAGGGGGACCUUCGGGCCUCUUGCCAUCGGAUGUGCCCAGAUGGGAUUAGCUUGUUGGUGAGGUAACGGCUCACCAAGGCGACGAUCCCUAGCUGGUCUGAGAGGAUGACCAGCCACACUGGAACUGAAACACGGUCCAGACUCCUACCGGAGGCAGCAGUGGGGAAUAUUGCACAAUGGGCGCAAGCCUGAUGCAGCCAUGCCGCGUGUAUGAAGAAAGCCUUCCGGUUGUAAAGUACUUUCAGCGGGGAGGAAGGGGUUAAGGUUAAUAACCUUAGCCAUUGACGUUACCCGCAGAAGAAGCACCGGCUAACUCCGUGCCAGCAGCCGCGGUAAUACCGAAGGUGCAAGCGUUAAUCGGAAUUACUGGGCGUAAAGCGCACGCAGGCGGUCUGUCAAGUCCGAUGUGAAAUCCCCGGGCUCAACCUGGGAACUGCAUUCCAAACUGGCAGGCUUG